GCCAGGAUGGUAACAGAACAUGAGGUGGAAAGGGCUGAAAGAAAAGUCGAGAUGUUCCUUGACACAACAUGACCACAGCUGGCCUGAUAGGUGUCAAGAUGGACCCUUAUGAAAGCUGUGAACAUAUAUGCAACCGGGGUCCAACAUCAGAUGAUGCUUGGCAUGUUCCAACUCUCGCCUGAGAGCAUUAUACCUGAGUCUCACCUCUGCUAUUCUCUGCUGUCGAUGCUCCAAGAAUUUCAGCUUUGCACUAAAGAGGACUAUGCCCUGAAAACGUGGAUGACAAAAAGUCCAGUUUGAAGGAAUAGGACCGAGAUGGGUCAGACGCAGGAACUGAACACACACGCAACAUCACUUUGACCUAGAAUUGGG